rnacentral:rRNA from 1 species
UCGGCAACGGAUAUCUCGGCUCUUACAUCGAUGAAGAACGUAGCAAAAUGCGAUACUUGGUGUGAAUUGCAGAAUCCCGUGAACCAUCGAGUCUUUGAACGCAAGUUGCGCCCGAAUCCUUUUGGUCGAGGGCACGUCUGCCUGGGUGUCACGUACACAUGCCUCCCGCAAACCUUCCUUCCUUUGUGGAUGAAGGGCCUCGGGGGUGCAGAUAAUGGUAUCCCGUGCCCUUUCCGCGCGGCUUGCCUA